rnacentral:rRNA from 1 species
GUUAAGCGACUAAGCGUACACGGUGGAUGCCCUGGCAGUCAGAGGCGAUGAAGGACGUGCUAAUCUGCGAAAAGCGCCGGCGAGGUGAUAUGAACCCUUGACCCGGCGAUGUCCGAAUGGGGAAACCCAGUGCAAUCCGUUGCACUAUCGUUAACUGAAUACAUAGGUUAACGAGGCGAACCGGGGGAACUGAAACAUCUAAGUACCCCGAGGAAAAGAAAUCAACCGAGAUUCCCCCAGUAGCGGCGAGCGAACGGGGAGCAGCCCGGAGUCUGAAUCAGCUUGUGUGUUAGUGGAACGGUCUGGAAAGUCCGACGGUACAGGGUGAUAGUCCCGUACACGAAAAUGCACAUGCUGUGAACUCGAAGAGUAGGGCGGGACACGUGGUAUCCUGUCUGAAUAUGGGGGGACCAUCCUCCAAGGCUAAAUACUCCUGACUGACCGAUAGUGAACCAGUACCGUGAGGGAAAGGCGAAAAGAACCCCGGCGAGGGGAGUGAAAAAGAACCUGAAACCGUGUACGUACAAGCAGUGGGAGCCUCUUUAUGGGGUGACUGCGUACCUUUUGUAUAAUGGGUCAGCGACUUAUAUUCUGUAGCAAGGUUAACCGUAUAGGGGAGCCGAAGGGAAACCGAGUCUUAACUGGGCGUUAAGUUGCAGGGUAUAGACCCGAAACCCGGUGAUCUAGCCAUGGGCAGGUUGAAGGUUGGGUAACACUAACUGGAGGACCGAACCGACUAAUGUUGAAAAAUUAGCGGAUGACCUGUGGCUGGGGGUGAAAGGCCAAUCAAACCGGGAGAUAGCUGGUUCUCCCCGAAAGCUAUUUAGGUAGCGCCUCGUGAACUCAUCUUCGGGGGUAGAGCACUGUUUCGGCUAGGGGGCCAUCCCGGCUUACCAACCCGAUGCAAACUACGAAUACCGAAGAAUGUUAUCACGGGAGACACACGGCGGGUGCUAACGUCCGUCGUGAAGAGGGAAACAACCCAGACCGCCAGCUAAGGUCCCAAAGUCAUGGUUAAGUGGGAAACGAUGUGGGAAGGCACAGACAGCCAGGAUGUUGGCUUAGAAGCAGCCAUCAUUUAAAGAAAGCGUAAUAGCUCACUGGUCGAGUCGGCCUGCGCGGAAGAUGUAACGGGGCUAAACCAUGCACCGAAGCUGCGGCAGCGACACUAUGUGUUGUUGGGUAGGGGAGCGUUCUGUAAGCCGUUGAAGGUGUGCUGUGAGGCAUGCUGGAGGUAUCAGAAGUGCGAAUGCUGACAUAAGUAACGAUAAAGCGGGUGAAAAGCCCGCUCGCCGGAAGACCAAGGGUUCCUGUCCAACGUUAAUCGGGGCAGGGUGAGUCGACCCCUAAGGCGAGGCCGAAAGGCGUAGUCGAUGGGAAACAGGUUAAUAUUCCUGUACUUGGUGUUACUGCGAAGGGGGGACGGAGAAGGCUAUGUCAGCCGGGCGACGGUUGUCCCGGUUUAAGCAUGUAGGCGGAGGU